rnacentral:lncRNA from 1 species
UCUGGGAUGUCGAAGUCUGUGAGGAUGCUAAAAAGUAUCGAGUCACUGGAGGAUCAUAGCUAUGAUCGAAUCCUAUGACCCGACUCCUACUCACCCCUCUAGUGAUCCUGAGCCAUCCCUCAAGUUCAAUGAGGGGUUGAGUGGACGGGUCAUCAUCAUGUCGUGCAACGACAUACUCCGCAUAAUCUACCUAUACAGUUCAACAAUAUAUUAGUUCUAAUAUACAUAUCAGAUCUUGUAAUAACUUAAUAAAUAUAGUUUGAAAUUCUUACUGCGAUCUAUUACGACCUAGAAUCUAAAUAAUCACUAAUCCUUAU